GCCUACCUCUGUAUCUUUGAGAGGAGCC
rnacentral:piRNA from 1 species